AGGUUUUGAUUCGGUGGUUGCAAACCAACAGCAAUAUGUGUCGCUAUCAAGCAGAAUCCAUGCUUCUGAAGAGCACAUCUGCCAAGGGAGAGACAAGAGCUGAAACCACAGUAACAGAGGAAAAUACAGAACCGGGAACAGUGCUUCUAAUGCAUGCUGCAGCUGACUGGUGCAAAAAGUCCAAAUUUGGGGGAGCCUUGAAGCUGCCAGCUGUCAUUUCAAUGGACAAAGACGAACAAAUGGAAGUCCUCAAAGAACUGCAGAGUU